GGGCUUGACAUCCCACGAACCUGCCCGAAAGGGUAGGGUGCCCGCAAGGGAGCGUGGAGACAGGUGGUGCAUGGCUGUCGUCAGCUCGUGUCGUGAGAUGUUGGGUUAAGUCCCGCAACGAGCGCAACCCUCACCCCUUGUUGCCACCGGGUCAUGCCGAGCACUCUAGGGGAACUGCCAGCGUCAAGCUGGAGGAAGGCGGGGAUGACGUCAAGUCAUCAUGCCCCUUACGCCCUGGGCGACACACGUGCUACAAUGGCUGGUACAAAGGGAUGCAAGACCGCGAGGUGGAGCUAAUCCCAAAAAACCGGUCUAAGUUCUGAUUGCAGUCUGCAACUCGACUGCAUGAAGGAGGAAUCGCUAGUAAUCGCGCACCAGCACGGCGCGGUGAAUACGUUCCCGGGCCUUGUACACACCGCCCGUCACACCACGAAAGUCGGCUGUACUCGAAGUCGCUGAG
rnacentral:rRNA from 1 species